rfam:Myotis lucifugus cont2.51831, whole genome shotgun sequence.
GGCCCGGUGGCUCUGUUGGUUAGAGCAUUGUCCUGAUGCGCCAAGGUUGUGGGUUUGUUUCCCAUUCAGGGUA